rnacentral:rRNA from 1 species
GUGAGGAAUAUUGCGCAAUGGAGGCAACUCUGACGCAGCCAUGCCGCGUGCAGGAAGAAGGCGCUACGCGUUGUAAACUGCUUUUAACCGGGAAGAAACCCCAGGACGUGUCCUGGGUUGACGGUACCGGAGGAAUAAGCACCGGCUAACUUCGUGCCAGCAGCCGCGGUAAUACGAAGGGUGCAAGCGUUAUCCGGAUUCAUUGGGUUUAAAGGGUGCGUAGGCGGAGCGUUAAGUCAGUGGUGAAAUCCUGCAGCUUAACUGUAGACUUGCCAUUGAUACUGGCGAUCUUGAGUGCGCUUGAAGUGGGCGGAAUGUGCCGUGUAGCGGUGAAAUGCUUAGAUAUGGCACAGAACACCAAUUGCGAAGGCAGCUCACUAAGGCGAUACUGACGCUGAGGCACGAAAGCGUGGGGAUCGAACAGGAUUAGAAACCCCUGUAGUCC